UGGGGAAUAUUGGACAAUGGGCGCAAGCCUGAUCCAGCCAUGCCGCGUGAGUGAAGAAGGCCUUAGGGUUGUAAAACUCUUUCGCCGGGGAAGAUAAUGACGGUACCCGGAGAAGAAGCUCCGGCUAACUUCGUGCCAGCAGCCGCGGUAAUACGAAGGGAGCUAGCGUUGUUCGGAAUUACUGGGCGUAAAGCGCACGUAGGCGGACUUGUCAGUCAGGGGUGAAAUCCCAAGGCUCAACCUUGGAACUGCCUCCGAUACAGCAAGCCUAGAGAUCGGGAGAGGUGAGUGGAAUUCCUAGUGUAGAGGUGAAAUUCGUAGAUAUUAGGAAGAACACCAGUGGCGAAGGCGGCUCACUGGCCCGAUACUGACGCUGAGGUGCGAAAGCGUGGGGAGCAAACAGGAUUAGAUACCCUUGUAGUCCCUGAGCGGGCUGGCAAGGCGC
rnacentral:rRNA from 1 species